UGUAAAAGCUUACAUGUGGUUUCUUCUGGCCUCCUCCCCUAGGUAGCCUCCCUCUUGGCUGACUCUGUCUGCAUUCUCUGUAAUAAAUCUUGGCCAUAGCACAAGUACAUGCUGAGUCUGAAAUCACAAUGUAAGUUCAAGAUUGCAACACUGUUAACAGAGGAACAUUCAUAGAGUUUAGAAGAAAAAUACGUAACAAAAGCUUUAAGAAGAUAAUAUCCUACACUAAAAAAGUGACUCAGGUAAUUUAAUAUCAACAUUUAAAAGAAAAAAAUUAUUCAAUUGAAUUAGAAGUAAAAAUGGCUGUUAUGUUGUUUUAUGUAAUUAUGCUUCUGCAGAGUAAAAUUUAAUAUCUUUAUAAAAUGGGGUCCCUUUGCACAAGCUGCCAACUGUGCAAAU
ensembl:lncRNA